rnacentral:rRNA from 1 species
GGUUAAGCGACUAAGCGUACACGGUGGAUGCCCUGGCAGUCAGAGGCGAUGAAGGGCGUGCUAAUCUGCGAUAAGCGCCGGUAAGGUGAUAUGAACCGUUAUAACCGGCGAUACCCGAAUGGGGAAACCCAGUGUGACUCGUCACACUAUCAUUAACUGAAUCCAUAGGUUAAUGAGGCGAACCGGGGGAACUGAAACAUCUAAGUACCCCGAGGAAAAGAAAUCAACCGAGAUUCCCCCAGUAGCGGCGAGCGAACGGGGAGGAGCCCAGAGCCUGAAUCAGCAUGUGUGUUAGUGGAAGCGUCUGGAAAGGCGCGCGAUACAGGGUGACAGCCCCGUACACAAAAGCGCAUGUGCUGUGAGCUCGAUGAGUAGGGCGGGACACGUGGUAUCCUGUCUGAAUAUGGGGGGACCAUCCUCCAAGGCUAAAUACUCCUGACUGACCGAUAGUGAACCAGUACCGUGAGGGAAAGGCGAAAAGAACCCCGGCGAGGGGAGUGAAAAAGAACCUGAAACCGUGUACGUACAAGCAGUGGGAGCCCCACCACUAAGCCAGUGGUGAACUCCACAUACGCAUCCUUUGCUGAGGAUACGGUUAACGGAGCGAAAGCGACGUUCAACCGCAAAAGAAGCAGAGGGGGCUUAGUGGUGGGGUGACUGCGUACCUUUUGUAUAAUGGGUCAGCGACUUAUAUUCUGUAGCAAGGUUAACCGAAUAGGGGAGCCGGAGGGAAACCGAGUCUUAAUUGGGCGUUAAGUUGCAGGGUAUAGACCCGAAACCCGGUGAUCUAGCCAUGGGCAGGUUGAAGGUUGGGUAACACUAACUGGAGGACCGAACCGACUAAUGUUGAAAAAUUAGCGGAUGACCUGUGGCUGGGGGUGAAAGGCCAAUCAAACCGGGAGAUAGCUGGUUCUCCCCGAAAGCUAUUUAGGUAGCGCUUCGUGAAUUCAUCUCCGGGGGUAGAGCACUGUUUCGGCUAGGGGGCCAUCCCGGCUUACCAACCCGAUGCAAACUGCGAAUACCGGAGAAUGUUAUCACGGGAGACACACGGCGGGUGCUAACGUCCGUCGUGAAGAGGGAAACAACCCAGACCGCCAGCUAAGGUCCCAAAGUCAUGGUUAAGUGGGAAACGAUGU